rnacentral:rRNA from 1 species
UACGGGGGGUGCGAGCGUUAUCCGGAAUCACUGGGCGUAAAGGGCGCGUAGGCGGUUUGUUAAGUCCGAUGUUAAAGACCGAGGCUCAACCUCGAUACGGCGUUGGAUACUGACAAGCUGGACGGUUGGAGAGGAAGGUAGAAUUACCAGUGUAGCGGUGGAAUGCGUAGAUACUGGUAGGAAUACCCAUUGCGAAGGCAGCCUUCUGGACAACACGUGACGCUGAGGCGCGAAAGUGUGGGGAGCAAACCGG